UCGGAAAAUUCAACUAGCGUUUUUGAUAACGCCUUAAUUGAUAUCAGAUCUUCAACCAAACAAAGGCCUACACCGCUAGAGGGCAGUAACGAAAGACCUAAAAUGAAUAAGUGAAUCCGUUUUCACAGAGACGGUGGGAAAGUCUAACUUGUACCCGUCGGCUAACGAUAAUAAUUAUAAGUGUUUCUGGACGUAACAAUAUUAUUGUUAUGGCCGAUGGAAAUUUCGUUUUUUUCCUCGUUACCUACCCGGCGUGUUUUCGCCGACUAAUCGAAAUGUGUUCGGUUCGCACUCGAGUUGACGAGUGAACGGUUAGCCACGUUUUAAACAGCGCGCGGUUUGAAAUCGCCGUCUUCGUAUUCCGCGCGGCUGUACAUUAAUAGGCCGAGCGCGACCG